GGCCAAAUUAAUGAAAGCUAGGUUAUGCAGAUAUCUGACAGAGAAAACUGGUACUCCAAGAAGAGUUGUUUGUGUUCUGGCUACUAUCAGUCUGUAUUUUUUAGGGAUGAGUUAUAUUUAGACGUCGAAAAUGGAUGAUGAGUUGGUGCUGCUGUCACCAACAGUCUGCUCUACAUGGGCACUAACAGGAACUAUCUUAGCAAUCUCCCUUUAUACCUCUGCCAACAUCUUCUCUGAGGCAUUUGCAUCUGUUGAACUACAAGAGAGAUUAGCGUGGAGAAAAUGUGUCCUAAUACUUCCACAUCUCCAAGAAUUACUCUUUCUUCCUUACUGUGAUAACUGACUGUCCAGAGACCAAGGAAAUGCUUUCCAUGAUGAUUUUCCGAAGCAGAGGAGUUCAUGUUAGAUCUGUUUUUCAUGUCAGAUUGUGAGUGAAACCUGGGUGAAAAAAAGAAAGGGAAUAAUGUCUGACAAAAAAGAAAAAAAAGUGUUGUUAACCUACCUGACUCACCUUCCUCCCUGGACAUGUGUAGCUGCCUUUCUGCUCUCUGAUUGAAUGGGCUGCCUGAAUUGCAAGAUGAUAUUCUGCUUGAAAGCCUUUUUCUGACCUUCUGAGAUUGCUAGAAAUACUGAUGUGUGUGACACAGUUUUGGUUAUCAAACUGUUUCCUGGCAUCCAAGACUCAGGUCAGUGAAACCAAGGCACAAAGCAGCCAGCAGUGUGAUGCCUUUAUCUCUUGAUGCUUAUCACUGUGAGGACAAGCCUAGAAUCCCUCAGCUUGACUUUAGGGUGGGAGAGAAGCAGAACUCUGUUGGCAGUCUUUCUCUGAAGUGCAGUGACUCUGAGUGCAAGAUGGUGUAAGAGAGAUCAGGAUCUGGGCUUUCCAGUAUGAACUGCUUGCUACAGGUGAUUGGGAAGUAGGGAAAGAGAUGCUGUUUUUAAAUUUAUGAAAAAAUUAAGGCAAAUCCUUAAACUGCUUGGGAAUAUGCCUUUAGCAAGCAAAAUCUGGAAUUGCCUUAAAUCUUAAGGAGAAGCCAGAAUUAAUUUUCUUUCCCUCCAGAAAGACCCAAGAAACCUGUCUAAACAUCUCCAUUUUUGUUAGCAGAGACUUAAUGUAGGUUAUUGCUACAUUGAACCUUCUUUAGAAAAUGGGAAAAAUAAGGACCCAAGUUAAUUGUAUGAUUAAACUGGGAAAUUUUCCAUUCUGGCAGUGUUCUGUUCAAUAACACUCAACUAUAAUGGUAGGCCUUAGCACAUCUGAUCUGAAAAACACAGGAAGAGGAAAUGCGUUGUUUAUCUGACUAAAUAUAGUUGGAUUGGAUGUCUUCUUUCCAUAAAAUGGUCAGAGAGGAUGGCUGAUAUAUAUUGGUGUGGAUUUUCAAGUGCUGUAAACAAUAUAGUUCCUUGUAUUCCAGUAGUUUUAACAGUAUUUGCAGCCCAUUGAGACCCCAUUGCGGAAUACAAAUCUGAAUUAAACGAGCUUUGGGUUGGAUAAUGAGAGAUGCAGGGUACUCAUAUUUCCUCUAGACUAGAUGCACAUUGUAAGCCUUUCAGUUGUGCUAAGGGUGAGAAGAAUCUGGGUGAGUUCAGACCUGAAAAUAUCAGUUGAAUGCACUUACUAUUACUUAUAAUCUGUUUUGUUUUAAAAGAAGAAUCCAUUAAUUACCAGUUUAUUUCAUGUUUACAGCAUGUAUGUAUUUGCACUGUGUACUGUGGGAGAGAGGGAAACACCUUCCAGAGGCCUCCUGCAUCAGAAAUGACAAGAAAAGCACUGGAAAGAGCUGUCAGCGUGCUGGUGGCUGACAGGCCGAACUGCUUUGUCUGUAACUUGUGGUCGUGACUGGUUGGAGCUCAAAACUGCUGGUAACUGUGCUGCCCAAUGUGGUGAAGGGGAAGCAAUUCUUGAAAAAGUCCAAGAUAACUGGUUAACUGUGAAUGGGCCUAAUCUUUCGUGCAACCAAGAAACUAUUUGGACACACACACAGGACUUGAAUACUCAAAAGGAUUGGAACUUAGUGUUGUGCCAAAGUUAAACUACUGCAGUUGGCAGAAGUUCUGCACUGUAAAUAGAAGACUGAUUAAAAGACAGCUUGUAAAAGAGAAAAAAAGAUCAAAUUUUAAUACACUACGUUUUUAUUCUGAUACGUGCCGGAAACAUUCUGUUUUAGACCUUUUUUGAAGAGGCUUCAGUGACCACUAGAUUUUGUCCUCUUAUAUUUUGUUUGGCCUAAUACUAUAUGUUCUAGUAAGAUGGGCUUUACUGCCUGUGUUCUUUGAUACGUGAUUAAGCUUAUAGCUUUGAGUGACCAAACAUUUUACAGAGUAAAAGUUCUUAGAAACAGUAUAAUGUAACUGAUAUUUCUGUGUCUUAUUUAUCAGGCUCUGCACAAACUUGGGAAGUUGUGCUGGACUUGUACAACUUACACGUGGGAACGCAGCAUACUGCUUGGUAUUACAGACCUAAGCCUUCGAGGCAGUACGGAUCUUGUCUUUGGAUUUAUUUUUGUUAUUCUUUUGAGGCAAAGAGAUGAACGGAUGCUGCUGUAAAAUAUUUGUAAUAUUGCCAUUAUUGCUUUCUGUAGCAAUUACUGCUUUUGUUUCAACAGAUAAAGAAAAUAAAUCAGAGAUAGAUAGAAAAAUCCCAACAGAAGCUGGUAGAAGAAAGGAUCACGUGGGAACUUCUGAAAAUAAACUUUGUACCAAAAAAUU
rnacentral:lncRNA from 1 species